AUCAUUGUUGUUUAAUUCGAUGAUACGCGAAGAACCUUACCAGGUCUUGACAUCCCCGCAAUGCUCUGAGACAGAGCGGAGGUAGUCCGGGGAGACAGGUGGUGCAUGGUUGUCGUCAGCUCGUGUCGUGAGAUGUUGGGUUAAGUCCCGCAACGAGCGCAACCCUUAUUGCUAGUUACCAUCAUUGAGUUGGGGACUCUAGCGAGACUGCCAGCGAUAAGCUGGAGGAAGGUGGGGAUGACGUCAAAUCAUCAUGCCCCUUAUGACCUGGGCUACAAACGUGAUACAAUGGCUGGAACAAAGGGAGGCGAAGGGGUGACCUGGAGCGAAACCCAAAAAUACAGUCUCAGUUCGGAUUGAAGUCUGCAACUCGACUUCAUGAAGUCGGAAUCGCUAGUAAUCGCGGAUCAGAACGCCGCGGUGAAUACGUUCUCGGGGUUU
rnacentral:rRNA from 1 species